rnacentral:rRNA from 1 species
CGAACGCUGGCGGCGUGCUUAACACAUGCAAGUCGAACGAGAAAGAGCUCUUCGGAGCUCGAGUAAAGUGGCGCACGGGUGAGUAACGCGUAGAUAACCUAUCCUUAUGUCUGGGAUAACCCACCGAAAGGUGGACUAAUACCGGAUAUGCUUGUUUUUCAUAAGCGUAAUAAGUAAAGGUGGCCUCUGAUUUAAGCUACUGCAUGGGGAGGGGUCUGCGUACCAUUAGCUUGUUGGUGGGGUAAUGGCCUACCAAGGCAACGAUGGUUAGCGGGUCUGAGAGGAUGAUCCGUCACACUGGCACUGGAACACGGGCCAGACUCCUACGGGAGGCAGCAGUGAGGAAUAUUGCGCAAUGGGGGAAACCCUGACGCAGCGACGCCGCGUGAGUGAGGAAGGCUUUCGGGUCGUAAAACUCUGUCAAAAGGGAAGAAAUGCAUAAUGGCUAAUACCUGUUAUGUUUGACGGUACCUUUAAAGGAAGCACCGGCUAACUCC